GCCAAUGAGGGUGGUAGAGGACCAAGCAUUUUGGAUACCUUCACUCACAAAUAUCCUGCUUAAAAUGCAGUUUUGUUAAAGGCUGAGAGCAUGGGAGAUAAGGUUGAGUGGAUUAACAAGCUAAGAAAUGUUGCACAGGCUAAAGGAGUUCAAGCCAUUGGGGAACCGAGUUUUCCUAUCGGCAAAGUCUUUUUGAUUUGUAUUUGAUCAAGGAAGCGUGUCAAACAAUGAAUGUAAUGAAGAUGAAGAAAAUUUGAUAUGUAUAAACAAUUAGUUAUGUUUGAACUAAUAUGGUAUGAAAUUUUGAGGAUGCAAAUAUAUCACCUGCCAUCCUUUUAGUUAUGUAUGUAUUGAUAUGCUAGUAUUUUUAAGUGCUUUCCUAAAGCUGCCAAACAAGGGAGGGAUCAUCCUCAUCACUUCUUGAGCUAGUCUCCAUGUAUAUUUCAUCUUUUGAAUCACUUUCCUUGUUAGUCUCUCUUAAAUAUAGUUCUGGUUUUAUUAUGACUGUUUCUAAAUAUUAAUAUGGUUGUUUCUGAUGAAUGAGUUUCAUUUGUUUUGGAUUUUGUGGUGCUGUCUUGUUUGUUUCCAUGUUGAUCGAAAAUGGUAUCUAUAAUAAGCUUGGUGCAGAGGUAAGAAAUUAUGUUCGAAUUCUAUUGAUUUUUGCCAUAUGUUCUGAUGCUUUCGUGGAAUUUGGGAGAUGCUCUGUAGUUUAAUUGUUCUUUAUGACUAAAAAAACUUCAUACAAAUGAUUG